GAGUUUGAUCAUGGCUCAGGACGAACGCUGGCGGCGUGCCUAACACAUGCAAGUCGAGCGAUGAAACCCUUCGGGGUGGAUUAGCGGCGGACGGGUGAAAAAAAAAUGGGUAACCUGCCUCAAAGAGGGGGAUAGCCUCCCGAAAGGGAGAUUAAUACCGCAUAACAUUAUUUUUUCACAUGAAGAGAUAAUCAAAGGUGUAAUCCGCUUUGAGAUGGACCCGCGGCGCAUUAGCUAGUUGGUGAGGUAAUGGCUCACCAAGGCAACGAUGCGUAGCCGACCUGAGAGGGUGAUCGGCCACAUUGGAACUGAGAUACGGUCCAGACUCCUACGGGAGGCAGCAGUGGGGAAUAUUGCGCAAUGGGGGAAACCCUGACGCAGCAACGCCGCGUGGGUGAAGAAGGCGUUCGGGUUGUAAAGCUCUGUCUUCUGGGACGAUAAUGACGGGGCCAGAGGAGGAAGCCACGGCUAACUACGUGCCAGCAGCCGC
rnacentral:rRNA from 1 species